ACAAAAACACUCAUAGAAAUUUGAGUUACAUAAAAUCAAUUAUCUUUUCUGUUUUUUCAGCCUAUGAAAAUAUGUCAUAUAUUUCAUGAGAAACACUAGCUAGUGUAAUCACAACUAUACUCCAGAGAAAUAACCAUUAUGAAGAUUGAAGUUGAUAGAUUAGGCAGGGAAGACUUCGAAUUGCCCAAAAGGUUCCUGCUUGAUUUGUGAAACAGCCCAGGAAUAAGGGACAUUCUCCUGGAUCAUUGUGCUUCGUGAGAGGAUGAGGGCUCAGGAAACCAUUGCACUGCUGUAUCCACUCACAUCAAUGUGAUUGAUUUUCUAGUGACACAGAAGAAUAUGUACUUUACAACUCCAUCCCUCACCUUGGAACUCAAAAUUUACAUGUUGAACAAGCUAAACAAAAAAGAAUAAUGCCUAGACUGAGAAAAGUUG
ensembl:lincRNA